CCUACGGGUGGCAGCAGUGAGGAAUAUUGGUCAAUGGACGAGAGUCUGAACCAGCCAAGUAGCGUGAAGGAUGACUGCCCUACGGGUUGUAAACUUCUUUUAUAAAGGAAUAAAGUGAUGCACGUGUGCGUUUUUGUAUGUACCUUAUGAAUAAGGAUCGGCUAACUCCGUGCCAGCAGCCGCGGUAAUACGGAGGAUCCGAGCGUUAUCCGGAUUUAUUGGGUUUAAAGGGAGCGUAGGUGGGUUGUUAAGUCAGUUGUGAAAGUUUGCGGCUCAACCGUAAAAUUGCAGUUGAUACUGGCAGUCUUGAGUACAGUAGAGGUAGGCGGAAUUCGUGGUGUAGCGGUGAAAUGCUUAGAUAUCACGAAGAACUCCGAUUGCGAAGGCAGCUCACUAAACUGCAACUGACACUGAUGCUCGAAAGUGUGGGUAUCAAACAGGAUUAGAUACCCCUGUAGUC
rnacentral:rRNA from 1 species